AUUGAACGCUGGCGGCAUGCCUUACACAUGCAAGUCGAACGGUAACAGGUCUUCGGAUGCUGACGAGUGGCGAACGGGUGAGUAAUACAUCGGAACGUGCCUAGUAGUGGGGGAUAACUACUCGAAAGAGUGGCUAAUACCGCAUGAGAUCUACGGAUGAAAGCAGGGGAUCGCAAGACCUUGUGCUACUAGAGCGGCCGAUGGCAGAUUAGGUAGUUGGUGGGAUAAAAGCUUACCAAGCCGACGGUCUGUAGCUGGUCUGAAAGGACGAUCAGCCAACCUGGGACUGAGACAAGGGCCAGACUCCUACGGGAGGCAGAAAUGGGGAAUUUUCGACAAUGGGCGAAAGCCUUAUCCAGCAAUGCCGCGUGCAGGAUGACGGCCUUCGGGUUGUAAACUGCUUUUGUACGGAACGAAAAGCCCCGGGUUAAUACCCUGGGGUCAUGACGGUACCGUAAGAAUAAGCACUGGCUAACUACGUGCCAGCCGCCGCAGUAA
rnacentral:rRNA from 1 species